rnacentral:rRNA from 14 species
UCAAGCAACUAAGCGCAUACGGUGGAUGCCUUGGCAGUCAGAGGCGAUGAAAGACGUAAUAGCCUGCGAUAAGCUCCGGGGAGGCGGCAAAUAUCCUGUGAUCCGGAGAUUUCUGAAUGGGGAAACCCACCUG